rnacentral:rRNA from 1 species
ACGAACGCUGGCGGCGUGCUUAACACAUGCAAGUCGAACGGAAAGGCCCUGCUUUUGUGGGGUGCUCGAGUGGCGAACGGGUGAGUAACACGUGAGUAACCUGCCCUUGACUUUGGGAUAACUUCAGGAAACUGGGGCUAAUACCGGAUAGGAGCUCCUGCUGCAUGGUGGGGGUUGGAAAGUUUCGGCGGUUGGGGAUGGACUCGCGGCUUAUCAGCUUGUUGGUGGGGUAGUGGCUUACCAAGGCUUUGACGGGUAGCCGGCCUGAGAGGGUGACCGGCAACAUUGGGACUGAGAUACGGCCCAGACUCCUACGGGAGGCAGCAGUGGGGAAUAUUGCACAAUGGGCGGAAGCCUGAUGCAGCAACGCCGCGUGCGGGAUGACGGCCUUCGGGUUGUAAACCGCUUUCGCCUGUGACGAAGCGUGAGUGACGGUAAUGGGUAAAGAAGCACCGGCUAACUACGUG